GAUGAACGCUGGCGGCGUGCCUAAUACAUGCAAGUCGAGCGAACAGACGAGGAGCUUGCUCCUCUGACGUUAGCGGCGGACGGGUGAGUAACACGUGGAUAACCUACCUAUAAGACUGGGAUAACUUCGGGAAACCGGAGCUGAUACCGGAUAAUAUAUUGAACCGCAUGGUUCAAUAGUGAAAGACGGUUUUGCUGUCACUUAUAGAUGGAUCCGCGCCGCAUUAGCUAGUUGGUAAGGUAACGGCUUACCAAGGCAACGAUGCGUAGCCGACCUGAGAGGGUGAUCGGCCACACUGGAACUGAGACGCGGGCCAGACUCCUACGGGAGGCAGCAGUAGGGAAUCUUCCGCAAUGGGCGAAAGCUUGACGGAGCAACGCCGCGUGAGUGAUGAAGGUCUUCGGAUCGUAAAACUCUGUUAUUAGGGAAGAACAAAUGUGUAAGUAACUAUGCACGUCUUGACGGUACCUAAUCAGAAAGCCACGGCUAACUACGUG
rnacentral:rRNA from 1 species